rnacentral:lncRNA from 1 species
CCAGUAUCACUGUAUCUGUUCUGUUCAAUUGAGGUAUAUACAUAUAUAUAUAUAUAUAUAUGUAUCUGUGUGUACUUCAUAUGUAACAUGAUAUUCACGAGCGUUGUAUUCAUGAUGGUUAUGAAGUAACUCCACCUUGUUUGAAAAGCUACAACCUUUUCAAACUGUCCCUCCGCUCGUGAAAGGUCGUCUAUCUCUCCAUCUUCCUAAGCAACCAAGAGAAAAAAAGAUAAUAAUUAAAAAAAAGAAAGAAAAAAAAAAAACGGAACUCAUCACUGUCUAUUCACUGAGCAUCAGAAAAGAAUCGUUCGAGUUCUUCGAUGCUACGUUGAAGUAACGUUGCAAAAUCUUUUCCUCUUUCGUCUCAUAUGGUUCAGCUAGCUACGUGAACCACCGAAGGCGUGGCGAAAGACAAAAAAAAAAAGCAGUGAAGCCAUCAGUGGAAGGCAAAAACCUCCUCCUGCGAUGAGUGGCGAACUGAAAGGAAACACUGGAAGUAAUCAAGUCGUAGAACGGAAACCCCUGCAGUGGGAUCUACGCUCCAGCGUCGGAGACUGGGAUCCUAAAUGCACAAACGCAGGCCCAUGUCGCGUCGCGAGCUAUGGAACUCGGCAACCUCUAUCCGCCCUCACGUUCGACCUCUCAAUGCGCUUGGGUACAUGGGACUCAGACCUUGGGAAUCCUUGCCCACAGCUCGCGGGAGAGUGCGGCGGAACGUGGAUAGCCUCGGGUCGGAAAGGAGGACCAGUUGGGCGAGGCCCAAUCUUCACGUUGGAUCUGGCGCCUUGCGAUGAUGCUGCUGCUGCUGCCC